CCCGCUCUGCUCACUCUGUGUUUCACUCUGUACAGUAUCAGCCUCUCAGCUCCAGCGUGUUUCACUCUGUACAGUAUCAGCCUCUCAGCUCCAGCGUGUUUCACUCUGUACAGCAGCAGCCUCUCAGCUCCAGCGUGUUUCACUCUGUACAGCAGCAGCCUCUCAGCUCCAGCGUGUUUCACUCUGUACAGCAGCAGCCUCUCAGCUCCAGCGUGUUUCAUUCUGUACAGCAGCAGCCUCUCAGCUCCAGCGUGUUUCACUCUGUACAGCAGCAGCCUCUCAGCUCCAGCGUGUUUCACUCUGUACAGCAGCAGCCUCUCAGCUCCAGUGAACAAGCAGCCUUCCUUCAGAAUGGGAACCUCUUCAUUGCAGAUCUCCAGCCUGUACACACAAUGCCUGUGGGGGCUGGUUCUGAUCUCUCUGUUUUGCAGUAGCAAAACCAGCUUUGGAGUCGACAGUUACGUGCUGCAGAUGAUUUCUGACUGUGAGUACAGUGACAGCAGCAUGGCGGACAUGGUGUAUUCCCAGAGACAUGUAUUUAACCAGGAGGAGUUUCUUCACUACGACACCAAGAUCCAGAAGUUUGUCGGGAACACAGCCUGCGGGGUGAAGAAUGCGGAGGAGUGGAACAAGGAUAAGGCCCAGCUGGCAGGGCUGCUGGGUAGCGUGGAUCGAUUUUGCAAAAACAACAUCAACAUCUACAAGCCUGGCACAAUCGAUUAUAAAGAAAAACCAUCUGUCCAGAUCAGAUCUAACAAGCUGUCCAGCUCUCAGCACCAGACCAUGCUAGUCUGUUAUGUCAUUGGCUUCUACCCACGUGAGAUAAAGGUGACCUGGCUCAGAAAUGGAGUGAAGGUGACGGCUGAUGUAUCCUCCUCAGAGCUGCUCCCUGAUGGAGACUGGACCUAUCAGAUCCACUCGUACCUGGAGCUCACCCCCCAGUCCGGAGACUCCUACACCUGCAGGGUGGAGCACAGCAGCCUCGCUGAGGCUAUCGAGAAGAAGUGGGAUCCAGCAAUGCCUGAAUCUAAGAGAAACAAGAUUAUUAUCGGAGCUUCUGGAAUCGUUCUGGGCCUGGUCAUUGCAGCCGCUGGACUGAUCUACUACAAGAAGAAGGCUACAGGUCGCAUUUUGGUGCCAUCAGAUUAAGAUUCCUGAAGUGGCGGCUAAACAGGAUUCUUUGGUCACUGGUGCACUCCUUGAAGGGGUGGACUGUGAAGAUUUACAAUUUUAUUACUUUCAAUUUUAGAUUCUUUCAAAUCAUUCAUGCAGUAAAUUGGUAAUUUCAAUAAUGCAGUAACAUGUGCAAGCACCUUCAAUGUAAUCAACUUUACUGUUUGUUUCCCCACAUGUAAUGCUAAUGGGAAUAAAGGUGAACAGUCAUGCUUUGGUUCUAUUCAGUGUAUUUGCUAUAGAUGCUUCAGUCUUUACAGUUUAUACCUGAUUACAGUUUCAAUCUGACCUUGAUUAACAUUCUCCUAUUCUGUAUUCAUUAGAAGGGCUAGACCUGGCCUAUAUAUUUGCUCAGUAAUGACAUUUGCUUAAAUAAAUUCGCUACAUUAAGAGCUUUUCUUGGAGUUAUUACAACAUAUGAAUUGUGUAUGUUAAUAAUGAUGUUUGACUUGUGGUAUACAUUUUGAGUUAAGAACAUAGAUGUAUUUUUCUGUUGAUUUUAAAGUGUUUUAUGCAGCUAAUCUCUGUACCUGGUUUAAGUUAAAUAAAAGUUCCUUUUACUACCAAAC